rnacentral:rRNA from 1 species
CCUACGGGUGGCAGCAGUGGGGAAUAUUGCGCAAUGGGCGAAAGCCUGACGCAGCGACGCCGCGUGAGGGAUGACGGUCUUCGGAUCGUAAACCUCUGUCAGCAGGGAAGAACGGUCACUGUGCUAAUCAGCAGUGAAUUGACGGUACCUGCAAAGGAAGCACCGGCUACCUCCGUACCAGCAGCCGCGGUAAUACGGAGGGUGCGAGCGUUAAUCGGAAUUACUGGGCGUAAAGGGCUCGUAGGCGGUAUGUCAAGUCAAGGGUGAAAUCCCCGCGCUCAACGGUGGAACUGCCUUUGAAACUGGCAAACUUGAGUGUGUGAGAGGAUAGUGGAAUUCCAGGUGUAGGAGUGAAAUCCGUAGAUAUCUGGAGGAACAUCAGUGGCGAAGGCGAGUAUCUGGCACAUAACUGACGCUGAGGAGCGAAAGCGUGGGUAGCAAACAGGAUUAGAUACCCUAGUAGUC